CUUGUGGAGGAGCAGGCUUAAAUCUGGAACAGAAAAUUGUCAAUUAGUUUUGUCAUGCUUGAGAUUAAUAAUGCAAAAUAUAAGUUUGAUUUGAAGAAACGAAAUCCAUUAAGAAAUUAAAUCUUGAUAGUGGAAAAAAGUUGAGAAGUUAAACAUGCAUAACCAAAAUACAAUAUUUCAGCUAAUUGAUUUCUAAAUGUUCUGGCUAAUAAGGAAAGAUGUCAAAAGACAACUGCAACUGCAUGCAUACUUGUGCUUUCCCAAGUGAGGUGUACGUGUUUUUAGCC
rnacentral:misc_RNA from 1 species